rnacentral:rRNA from 1 species
GAUGAACGCUGGCGGCGUGCUUAACACAUGCAAGUCGAACGAUGAAGCCGGAGCUUGCUCUGGUGGAUUAGCGGCGAACGGGUGAGUAACACGUGAGUAACCUGCCCUUGACUCUGGGAUAAGCGCUGGAAACGGCGUCUAAUACCGGAUACGAGCUUCCACCGCAUGGUGAGUUGCUGGAAAGAAUUUCGGUCAAGGAUGGACUCGCGGCCUAUCAGCUUGUUGGUGAGGUAACGGCUCACCAAGGCGACGACGGGUAGCCGGCCUGAGAGGGUGACCGGCCACACUGGGACUGAGACACGGCCCAGACUCCGACGGGAGGCAGCAGUGGGGAAUAUUGCACAAUGGGCGCAAGCCUGAUGCAGCAGCGCCGCGUGAGGGACGAAGGCCUUCGGGUCGUAAACCUCUUUUAGCAGGGAAGAAGCGAAAGUGACGGUACCUGCAGAAAAAGCACCGGCUAACUACGUGCCAGCAGCCGCGGUAA